GAUGAACGCUAGCGGCAGGCUUAAUACAUGCAAGUCGAGGGACAGCACAGGUAGCAAUACUGGGUGGUAACCGGCAAACGGGUGCGGAACACGUACACAACCUUCCUUUAAGUGGGGGAUAGCCCAGAGAAAUUUGGAUUAAUACCCCGUAAUAUAGUUGAAUGGCAUCAUUUGAUUAUUAUAGCUACGGCGCUUAAUGAUGGGUGUGCGGCUGAUUAGAUAGUUGGCGGGGUAACGGCCCACCAAGUCUACGAUCAGUAGCUGAUGUGAGAGCAUGAUCAGCCACGCGGGCACUGAGACACGGGCCCGACUCCUACGGGAGGCAGCAGUAAGGAAUAUUGGUCAAUGGACGCAAGUCUGAACCAGCCAUGCCGCGUGAAGGAUUAAGGUCCUCUGGAUUGUAAACUUCUUUUAUUUGGGACGAAAAAGGGUCUUUCUAGACCAACUGACGGUACCAGAUGAAUAAGCACCGGCUAACUCCGUGCCAGCCGCCGCCGUAAGAC
rnacentral:rRNA from 1 species